GAUGAACGCUGGCGGCGUGCUUAACACAUGCAAGUCGAACGGAAAGGCCCAAGCUUGCUUGGGUACUCGAGUGGCGAACGGGUGAGUAACACGUGGGUGAUCUGCCCUGCACUUCGGGAUAAGCCUGGGAAACUGGGUCUAAUACCGGAUAGGACCACUUCUUGGAUGUUGUGGUGGAAAGUUUUUUCGGUGUGGGAUGAGCUCGCGGCCUAUCAGCUUGUUGGUGGGGUAAUGGCCUACCAAGGCGUCGACGGGUAGCCGGCCUGUGAGGGUGUACGGCCAUAUUGGGACUGAGGUACGGCCCAGACUGCUACGGGAGGCAGCAGGGGGGAAUAUUGCACAAUGGGCGCAAGCCUGAUGCAGCGACGCCGCGGGGGGGAUGACGGCCUUCGGGUUGUAAACUCCUUUCGCUAGGGACGAAGCGUUUUGUGACGGUACCUGGAGAAGAAGCACCGGCUAACUACGUG
rnacentral:rRNA from 1 species